AGUUUGAUCAUGGCUCAGAACGAACGCUGGCGGCAGGCCUAACACAUGCAAGUCGAGCGCACUUAUGACCUUCGGGUUAUAGGCGAGCGGCGGACGGGUUAGUAACGCGUGGGAACGUACCCUUUACUACGGAAUAGCCUUUGGAAACGAAGAGUAAUACCGUAUACGCCCUUCGGGGGAAAGAUUUAUCGGUAAAGGAUCGGCCCGCGUUAGAUUAGAUAGUUGGUGGGGUAAUGGCCUACCAAGUCUACGAUCUAUAGCUGGUUUGAGAGGAUGAUCAGCAACACUGGGACUGAGACACGGCCCAGACUCCUACGGGAGGCAGCAGUGGGGAAUCUUAGACAAUGGGCGAAAGCCUGAUCUAGCCAUGCCGCGUGAGUGAAGAAGGCCUUAGGGUCGUAAAACUCUUUCGCCAGAGAUGAUAAUGACAGUAUCUGGUAAAGAAACCCCGGCUAACUCCGUGCCAGCAGCCGCGGUAAUACGGAGGGGGUUAGCGUUGUUCGGAAUUACUGGGCGUAAAGCGCACGUAGGCGGAUUGAUCAGUUAGAGGUGAAAUCCCAGGGCUCAACCCUGGAACUGCCUUUAAUACUGUCAGUCUAGAGAUCGAGAGAGGUGAGUGGAAUUCCAAGUGUAGAGGUGAAAUUCGUAGAUAUUUGGAGGAACACCAGUGGCGAAGGCGG
rnacentral:rRNA from 1 species